UACGAAGGGUGCAAGCGUUACUCGGAAUUACUGGGCGUAAAGCGUGCGUAGGUGGUUUGUUAAGUCUGUUGUGAAAGCCCCGGGCUCAACCUGGGAAUGGCAAUGGAUACUGGCAAGCUAGAGUGCGGUAGAGGGUAGUGGAAUUCCCGGUGUAGCGGUGGAAUGCGUAGAGAUCGGGAAGAACAUCGGUGGCGAAGGCGGCCAGCUGGGCCGUUGCUGACGCUGAGGCGCGAAAGCGUGGGGAUCAAACAGG
rnacentral:rRNA from 1 species